rnacentral:tRNA from 2 species
GUCCUUGUAGCUCAACCGGAUAGAGCACAAGCCUCCUAAGCUUGGGGUAGGUGGUUCAAUUCCACUCAGGGACGCCA